rnacentral:rRNA from 1 species
CCUACGGGUGGCAGCAGUGGGGAAUAUUGCACAAUGGGGGAAACCCUGAUGCAGCAACGCCGCGUGAGUGAGGAAGUAUUUCGGUAUGUAAAGCUCUAUCAGCAGGGAAUAGAAAAGAAGGUACCUGAAAAAGAAGCCCCGGCUAACUACGUGCCAGCAGCCGCGGUAAUACGUAGGGGGCAAGCGUUAUCCGGAUUUACUGGGUGUAAAGGGAGCGUAGACGGAAAGGCAAGUCAGAAGUGAAAGCCCAAGGCUCAACCAUGGGACUGCUUUUGAAACUGUCAAACUAGAGUACGGGAGAGGUAAGAGGAUGUCGUGGUGUGGCGGUGAAAUGGGUAGAUAUUAGGAGGAAAACCAGUGGCGAAGGGGUCUAACUGGACCGAAACGGCGGUUGAGGCUCGAAGGCGUGGGAGCAAACAGGAUUAGAUACCCCGGUAGUC